rnacentral:misc_RNA from 1 species
GCAAACUUGGUCAUUUAGAGGAAGUAAAAGUCGUAACAAGGUUUCCGUAGGUGAACCUGCGGAAGGAUCAUUACCGAGUGCGGGCCGCCUCCGGGCGCCCAACCUCCCACCCGUGACUACCACACCCUGUUGCUUCGGCGGCGCGCCCCCUCCAAGGGGGGGAGCAAGCCGCCGGGGACCACCGAACUUCAUGCCUGAGAGUGAUGCAGUCUGAGCCUGAAUAUGAAAUCAGUCAAAACUUUCAACAAUGGAUCUCUUGGUUCCGGCAUCGAUGAAGAACGCAGC